GGGGAAGUUUCCGCAAUGGGCGCAAGCCUGACGGAGCAACGCCGCGUGAGGGAGGAAGGCCUGUGGGUUGUAAACCUCUUUUCUCAAGGAAGAACACAAUGACGNNNNNNGAGGAAUCAGCAUCGGCUAACUCCGUGCCAGCAGCCGCGGUAAGACGGAGGAUGCAAGCGUUAUCCGGAAUUAUUGGGCGUAAAGCGUCCGUAGGUGGUUAUAAAAGUCUGUUGUUAAAGCCCACAGCUCAACUGUGGAUCGGCAAUGGAAACUGUAUGACUUGAGUGUGGUAGGGGUANNNNNAAUUCCUAGUGUAGCGGUGAAAUGCGUAGAUAUUAGGAAGAACACCAGUGGCGAAGGCGCUCUACUGGGCCAUAACUGACACUGAUGGACGAAAGCUAGGGGAGCGAAAGGGAUUAGAUACCCCUGUAGUC
rnacentral:rRNA from 1 species